CUGGAUGAAAAUAUGAGCUGGGCUCCGAGCAGCAAACAUCGUUGUGGUCUGAUGGAGAUGCAUUUGCCUAGAAACCAUUGUCUGACAA
rfam:Triticum aestivum genome assembly, contig: Triticum_aestivum_CS42_TGACv1_scaffold_405567_5BL